UUGGCCUUAAGUAGAGGAGUAAAUUGAGUGCAUAGAAUUUAAAAUCUGAAAAAUCAGUUUAACAUGGAGGAUAUGAAAAAUAAUUGCUGCUUCUGUUAUAUACCAAUACUUCCUUUCCUAUCCCGUAUAACUUGAGGAAAAACAAAAUUAAAAGCUCUUUAAUUCCUUUUUGAUAUCAGUCUUAGAUCUCUUCCUACAUAUAAAGUUUUUUGGAUAACACUUUGUAGUUGCAUUUGAAGUCGAAUACUUCAACACUAAAGUUUGUGAAUCCACAAAGUGAAGCGUGUUUAAAUGUUAAGAUUAUCAAAUUUGAUUUUCAUAAAUAAACUCCCUGAAAUGCUUGCGAAACACGUGCCUAACAAUAAAAGCAAGAGAUUGAACUACAAGAGUAGGCAUUACACUUCUUCUUAUCUUACUGUUUGAGAUUGACAUAUUAAACGAUAACUUGUAGAUGAAAACAAUGUAAAUGAUUGAACUAAUUGAAUUUUAUCAAUAUUGGGAGUUGUGUGAUGGUUGUCUAAAAAAAGCAAGAAGAAAGAUUGUUUGGAUAUCUUGGGAAGUCAAAAGUGUAACAAAUUUUUCUUCUAUGUGAACAUUUUUCUUUUAAGCUUGGUUAGGAACAAGUUCAUGAGGAUUGAAUAUUUGUGAUCAUGUAUAUAUCCUUAUUGCUUGGACUUUGAAUAUUCUACGUGAAAAAAUAUAAAGUUACGUCCAGGGGAAAUACUUUAAUAGUGUUGAUAAGGCCUGGUAAUAAAUGAAGUAUAAAGCCAUUGCUCUCCACAUGUAACAUGUCAAUCAUGUUAUACCGUAAAUAUCAAACUACAUUCGACUUCCUAUUAAGUCUUCUCAUUUUUAAUUUAACUGUUUGCAAGAGGGUUAUUUGAAAGGAGAUGAAGAAAUUUAAAUCGUAACCAGAUUGUUGCUGCAGCAAGUGAUCGAGUCAAAAGGAAAAUACAAGCUCCGUGUAAUGUUCCUCCUUUUUAUAUUUCAGGUUCUAAUACCUUUCUCAAGGAGUUUCGAAGGAAAUUAAAGAGGAAGCUUAGUAUAACGCAUGCAGGUAAAUGAUCGAUCUUCCAAGUGAAGGCUCUGUCUCAUGGAAGAUGAGAGCAUUUACUUCUCUUGAUGGCUGGUCAAGUAACAAUACUAUUCUGAAGAUGCCCGAUAAUUGGCGACUCUUUGGUCUUGAACCUUUCUGGUAGUGUUACCAUAAAUUUACUCUCUUUAAGAAGAGAUGUGAAAGCUGCUUUUGGUUUGACAUUUCUAUGUUACAGUAUUUGAGACCAAAUGAAAAUCUAAAAGAUAAAGAAAGGCGGUACAUAGUUAGCUUGGUUAAGGCGUUUCUUAAUGCUCGAACAAUAAUUCUGGUGAAUGCAUUAUUGUAGAUGCAAAAAUGAUUUAUUUAUUGACAAAAAGUUUAGAGAAUGCUAGCUAUGCAG